UGGGGAGGGGUCUCGCCCGGUUCCCUUCAGCCCCUGUCCUGUCCCGUCUCAGAGCCGCCGUCCGAGUCGCUGCUGGUCCCGGUGGUGGCGGGCGUGAUCCUGGCCCUGGGGGCGGUCGCCGUGCUGGUCGGCCUGGCCUGGAGGAGGAGGCAGUCAGGGCCCAAGGCGGAUCUGUACUCGCCGGCGCCGGCCAGCGAGCAUGGAUCGGACAGCUCCAUCACCGCUCUAACGUAGCCGGUCGGAGCCGGUGGAGCCUCCAGACUGUGAAGACACGGACUGACCCGGGAGCUCCAGGCCCCCUGCCCCUCCUCAGCGUUAUCUCCCUGUUACUCCUUGCGUAGGGCCUUGAAGCUGUGCCUGGUGAACAGCCCCAUAUCUCCUGAACCUCCCGCCUCCCUGGGACCCACUGCGGGGGGGCCGCCUGCCCCGUGCUCUGUGUGUCAGCCACAGG
rnacentral:lncRNA from 1 species